rnacentral:rRNA from 1 species
GAUUCUGGCUCAGGAUGAACGCUAGCUACAGGCUUAACACAUGCAAGUCGAGGGGCAGCAUGGGAUAGCUUGCUAUUCAGAUGGCGACCGGCGCACGGGUGAGUAACGCGUAUCCAACCUUCCUGCCAGUAGGGAACAGCCCGGCGAAAGUCGGAUUAAUGCCCUAUGUUCUUCAAUGCGGACAUCUAAGUUGAAGGAAAGAUUCAUCGCUGGCAGAUGGGGAUGCGUCCGAUUAGCUUGCCGGCGGGGUAACGGCCCACCGGGGCGACGAUCGGUAGGGGUUCUGAGAGGAAGGUCCCCCACACUGGUACUGAGACACGGACCAGACUCCUACGGGAGGCAGCAGUGAGGAAUAUUGGUCAAUGGGCGUAAGCCUGAACCAGCCAAGUAGCGUGCAAGGAUGACGGCCCUACGGGUUGUAAACUGCUUUUAUGCGGGGAUAAAGUGCGGCACGUGUGCCGCUUUGCAGGUACCGCAUGAAUAAGGACCGGCUAAUUCCGUGCCAGCCGCUGC